GUGAAUCAUCGAAUUUUUGAACGCAAAUUGCACUCUCCGCGGAGAGGAUGCGUGUUUGAGGGUCAGCCUAUAAAAAAUCGACAUCGUUGGUGUUGCGCGGGGGCGUGCGUCGGAAAGUGGGUCAUCGUAAAUCGUUGGGUAGUAAGCGACUUAAAGUUGCCGUUUUGGUUCCGUGAAAGUGUUUAGGAUGAAUUUC
rnacentral:misc_RNA from 1 species